GUUUAAGCAGCCGCGGUAAUACGUAGGGUGCGAGCGUUAAUCGGAAUUACUGGGCGUAAAGCGUGCGCAGGCGGUUCGUUGUGUCUGAUGUGAAAGCCCCGGGCUCAACCUGGGAAUGGCAUUGGAAACUGGCGAGCUGGAGUGCGGCAGAGGGGGGUGGAAUUCCGCGUGUAGCAGUGAAAUGCGUAGAGAUGCGGAGGAACACCGAUGGCGAAGGCAGCCCCCUGGGCCGACACUGACGCUCAGGCACGAAAGCGUGGGGAGCAAACAGGAUUAGAAACCCUCGUAGUCC
rnacentral:rRNA from 1 species